GACGAACCGUGCGAACGUUGUUCGGAAUCACUGGGCUUAAAGGGCGCGUAGGCGGCUUGCCAAGUCCGGGGUGAAAGCCUCCAGCUCAACUGGAGAAGUGCCUUGGAUACUGGCGAGCUAGAGUGAGGUAGGGGCGGGUGGAACUUCCGGUGGAGCGGUGAAAUGCGUUGAUAUCGGAAGGAACGCCGGUGGCGAAAGCGACCCGCUGGACCUCUUCUGACGCUGAGGCGCGAAAGCUAGGGGAGCGAACGGG
rnacentral:rRNA from 1 species